rnacentral:rRNA from 1 species
AUUGAAGCUUGCUUCAAUUGCCGGCGACCGGCGCACGGGUGAGUAACGCGUAUCCAACCUUCCGUACACUCAGGGAUAGCCUUUCGAAAGAAAGAUUAAUACCUGAUGGUAUGAUGAGAUUGCAUGAUAGCAUCAUUAAAGAUUUAUCGGUGUACGAUGGGGAUGCGUUCCAUUAGGUAGUAGGCGGGGUAACGGCCCACCUAGCCGACGAUGGAUAGGGGUUCUGAGAGGGUGAUCGGCCACAUUGGAACUGAGACACGGUCCAAACUCC